CCAGUUAUUGUUGUGGUUGUUCCUCAUUGUACCCUGCCUAUACCCUGUUCCUCUGGAUUUUCUGUUGGUUUACCUUUUGUUUGGACUGUGUUGGUUUGGAUUCCCUGGACUCAGCCACUACAUUUGACCUGCUGUCCUUGUGUUCUGCAGUACAGUACACAUACUCAUUAACUGAACAAAACUGAAUUCCAGUGUGGGGGUGGGGUCUUAUGUUGUGCUGGUGAAUUUGUUUCUGUUCUUAUUGCUUGGGGUAAAUGGUGUUCGUGUUCCUCCACAAAAUAAAUGCAAAAGA